rnacentral:rRNA from 1 species
UGGGGAAUAUUGGACAAUGGGCGAAAGCCUGAUCCAGCAACGCCGCGUGAGCGAUGAAGGCCUUCGGGUUGUAAAGCUCUGUUAAGGGGAACGAAAAUGGGCGACCUAAUACGUCGUCAACUGACGGUACUCCUAGAGGAAGCACCGGCUAACUCUGUGCCAGCAGCCGCGGUAAUACAGAGGGUGCAAGCGUUGUUCGGAAUCACUGGGCGUAAAGGGUGCGUAUGCGGUGAAGUGUGUCUGGCGUGAAAUUCCUCAGCUUAACUGGGGAACUGCGUUAGAAACUGCUUUGCUAGAGUGCAAGAGGGGAUGGUGGAAUUCCCGGUGUAGCGGUGAAAUGCGUAGAUAUCGGGAGGAACAUCAGUGGCGAAGGCGGCCCUCUGGUCCAGUACUGACACUCAAGUGCGAAAGCGUGGGGAGCAAACAGGAUUAGAUACCCCCGUAGUCCCUGAGCGGGCUGGCAAGGCGCAU